GGCGGGCGCCUGUAGUCCCAGCUACUGCAGUCCCAACUACUCGGAUGGCUGAGGCAGGAGAAUGGCGUAAAGGGAGAUGGAGCUUGCAGUGAGCUGAGAUCGUGCCACUGCACUCCAGCCUGGGGGACAGAGCGAGACUCCGUCUCAAAAACAAAACAAAACAAACACAUACAAAAAACCCCAUGUGGUUUAGUAUUUUCAACAAGAUUAGAAAAUAUAAUUUUAAAACACUAUUGAAGAUGUCAGAAGGAUUACGGUUCAGUCAAGUGAGCUGAAGAUAUGUGAAGUGUAUUUUGCCUUUUGUUUUAAUCUUAUUUUUUUACUUUUAUUGAGACAGAGUCUCACUUGGUUGCCUGGGCUGGAGUGCGGUGGUGCGAUCUCGGUUCACUGCAACCUCUGUCUCCCGGGCCGAAGUGACUCUCCCGCCUCAGUCUCCCCAGUAGCUGGGACUACGUGUGUGCGCCACCACACCCGACUAAUUUUUCUAUUUUUUAGUAGUGACAGGGUUUCACCAUGUUGGCCAGGCUGGUCUGGAAUUCCCAGUGAUCCGCCCGCCUCAGCCUCCCAAAAUGCUAGGAUUACAGGCAUGAGCCACUGCGCGUGGCCUUUUUUAUUUAUUUUUGAGACAGGGUCUUACUCUGUCACCUUGGCUGAAGUGCAGUGGCGCAAUCUCGGCUCACUGCAUCCUCGAGCUCCUGAGCUCAAUUCUUCUGCCUCAGCCUCCUGAGUAGUUGGGACUACAGGCGUGCGCCAUCACUCCUGGCUAAUUUUCAUAUUUUUUGUGGACACAAGAACAGGGUUUCACCAUGUUGCUUAGGCUUUUCUCGAACUCUUGGGCUCAAGUGAUCCACCCACCUCAGCCUCCCACAGUGCUAGGAUUACAGGUGUGAGCAAAAAGCAGGAUAUGGCGUUCAGCACUGCUUUUUAAAGAAGGGUCUUCUAUACAGAAUUCUCUGUAGAUACAUAGGAAAAAAGCCAAGACCCAAUUAAAUUACUGAACUAAUUCUUACUUUGUACUAUAAUCUAUAGUUAGAAAUAAAUAAUUUUGAAUUUGGGCUGGGAAUGGUGGCUCAUGUCUAUAAUCCUAGCAGUUUGGGAAGCCAAGGCAGGUGGGCUGCUUAAGCUCAGGAGUUCGAGACCAGCCUGGGCAACAUGGUGAGACCCCGUCCCUAUUUGAAAAAAAAAAACAAGAAGAAAAGAAAAAAGAAUUUUGAAUUUGCAGAUGAUCCAAUAAAGAAUUUAAUCUUCAGGGGCCAGGCGUGGUGGCUCAUACCUGUAAUCCCAAUACUUCAGGAGGCUGAGGUGGGUGAAAUCACUUGGACCCAGGAGUUCGAGAGCAGCCUGGGCAACAAGGUGAAACCCCAUCUCUACAAAAUACAAAAAAAUUAGUCAGGCAUGGUGGGGUAUGCCUGUAGUCCAAGCUACUCGAAGGCUGAGGUGAGAGGAUCGCUUGAGCCCAGGAGGCAGAGGUUGCAGUGAGCCAUGAUCAUGCCACUGUACUCCAGCCUGGGCAACACAGCAAGACCCUGUCUCAAAAAAUAAAAUAAAAUAAAAAUUUUGUAAAAAAAAAAAAAAAGAAUUUAAUCUUCAAGAUUAUCUCCGUGGCCCAGCACAGUGAAUCAAGCACGUAAUCUCAACAAUUUGGGAGGCCAAGGUGGGAAGACUGUUUGAGGCUAUGAGUUUGAGACCAGCCUGGGCAAUGUAGCAAGACCCUGUAUCUAUUAAGAAUAUAAUAAUAAUGUCUCCUUAUUUUUAUAUACAAAACUAGUAGUAGCGUUGUCUGGGAACUUCAGAACACUCACUAGCUUUGGGAAGCACUCAAUGAAUAAAAACGGAAAUCUGAACACUAUGUAACAACAGAUUCUCAAUGUUCCCAGACAGAAAUGAAGGAAACUAUUCUUAAAUUAUCAAUAUUGGCAUAGCAUCAACGGUUCUUAUCUCUUCCUACAGGAUGCACUGUAAAUUUCAUUCACUCUUUAGUUUAACACUUCAGCUCCCACUUCAUUGUAGAUGUGAGUUCAUAUUUCCAUCUGUAACUUCCAGUUUUAAGACCUGAAGAUAUGUGAAGUGUGUUUCUUGCUUUUUUUUGUUUUUGUUUUUUUUGAGAUGGAGUCUCACUCUGUCGUCCAGGCUGGAGUGCAGUGGUGCGAUCUUAGCUUACUGCAACCUCCGCCUCUUGGGUUCAAGCGAUUCUCCUGCCUCAGCCUUCUGAGUAGCUGGGAUUACAGGCACGUGCCACUACACCUGGCUAAUUAUUUUUAGUAGAGAUGGGGUUUCACCAUGUCGGCCAGGCUAGUCUUGAACUCCUGACCUCUGGUGAUCCACCCACCUCGGCCUCCCAGAGUCCUGGGAUUACAGGCGUGAGCCACCGCGCCUGGCCGUAUCUUAUUUUUAUUUAUUUUUGAGACAGGGUCUCAAAGCAUAUUAUAUUAUUAAGCCAGCUUUAACUCCCUUAUCAUACAAAAGAAAAUGCUAUUUUGAAUAUGCAUGUACAGAUGAGCAUACGCUCAUUAAAGAUUAUUAGCAUUGGUAUGUAUAUACAACUUAACAUGUAAAAAGUAUGAUGAUAACACCAAAGAAAAAGAGCAAAAUUCACAACUUAAUUUCUUUUUUUUUUUGAGACAGAGUCUUACUCUCUUGUCCAGGCUGCAGUGCAGUGGCAUGAUCUCGGCUCACUGCAACCUCUGCCUGCCAGGUUCAAGCAAUUCUUGUGCCUUAGCCUCCUGAGUAGCUGAGACUACAGGCGCAUGCCACCAUACCAGACUAGUAUUUUUUGUUUUGUUUUGUUUAGUUUUUGGCAUUUUUAGUAGAGACAGGUUUUUGCCAUUUGGUCAUGAACUUCUGAGCUCAAGCCAUCUGCCUGCCCCCUGCCUCCCUAGGUGCUGGGAUUACAGGCGAGCAAACCACCGCAUCCAGCCUGCUCUAUUCAAGCAGGAUACACCACUGGACUAUAUUUUUACUAAUGAUUUUUUCACUAACACAAUAUACAUUGCAAUUUAAUGCUAGAAAUCAUAUUGGUUGUAUGCAUUUAAUCAAAUUCCUUCUACACUAUUAUCACCUGAUUCAAAGAUAUAUUUUCUCUGUUUUAGAAGUAAGCCUACUCUUCCGGUCAAUAAUUUAUUGCAUAAUAAUAAACACAAAACAUUCUGUGACCAUGGUAAGACAAAUGUGAAUUUUUCAUCUUUUCUCAAAUUUUAGCUGCACAGUAGUAAUGAGAAUAUAACCAGCUACCUUGAUAAUUUUACCUCAUAAGACUUAAAAUUAAGCCUGAGUCCAAACACAUGUGAACACACAAUUCAGCAAGAAAUUUACAUAAAUAUUCCCCAUUCUUCUCAUUUUAUUUACCAAUCAGUAAAAAUUCAAAUCAACGUAGUAUACAUCUAGAACAUAUUUAUCAUGUUCAUUAACAUUUACUGCAAGAGCGUAAUGCCACAAGUAGGGUAUAUAACAUUUUCUUGUUUGUUCUUUAUUUUUUUUUGUUAUUUAAAAAAAUUUUAUUUCAUAUAUACCGUAUUUAAAGAACACUAAACUGCAACUAUGACUAAUUGGUUGAGGUCACAGUAAUACAAAUUGGGGUUGAACCUAAGAAGAUGUUUCUAAAUGUCAAAGCUACCUCCAAACGGAACAGCUAGAAUUAGAGAUGUAGAGGCUUUUCUUUUUCUUUUUUUUUUUUUUUGGGACUAGAGACAGGGCCUUGCUAUGUUGUCCAGGCUGAACUCAAACUCCCGAGCUCAAACGCUUCUCCUGCCUUGACUUCCUAAAGUGCUGGGAUUAUAGGCGUGAGCCACCAUGCCUGGCCAGGUAACAGUGGCUUCAAUAGCAAGAUGAGGUAGUAGCAAAAACAUCAGACAUACUUCAGUUAUUAUGUUUUGAGUCUAUUUUUCUCGCUUUAAUAAAACAAGGGAGUGGAUGUGGUGGUUCACGCCUGUAAUCCCAGCACUUUGGGAGGCCAAGGUGGAGGGAUCACUUGACCCCAGGAGUUAAAGGCUGCACUAAGCUAUGACUGUGCAUGCCACUAAACUCCAGACUGAGCAACAGAGUAAGACCCUGUCUCUAAAAAAAAGUGGGGAUGAGGUGGGAGAGAUUUAAUAAAAUAUUUAUUUCAAAAAUUAAAUGAAGUUACAGGUUGAACUGCCUAAAACAGAGCCACAACUAUGCAAUUACUUUGAAGCUAUUAUACACUAUAAAGGCUACACCUUUACUGAGACAUAAUUCACCCACUUAAUGUGUAUGACUUCCUUUUCUUUUCUUUUUUUCAGAUGGAGUCAGUAGUUCAAGACCAGCCUGGCCAACAUGGUGAAAUGCCAUCUCUACUAAAAAUACAAAAAUUAGCUGGGCUUGGUGGCGGGUGCCUGUAAUCCCAGCUACUCAGGAGGCUGAGGCAGGAGAAUUGCUUGAACCCAGGAGACAGAGGUUGCAGUGAGCCGAGACCGCGCCACUGUACUCCAGCCUGGGCGGCAGAGCGAGACUCCAUCUCAAAAAAAAAAAAAAGAAAACAACAACAACAACAAAAUUAGCCGGGCGAGGUAGCAGACGCCUGUAGUCCCAGCUACUUGGGAGGCUGAGGCAGUAGAAUGGCGUGAACCCAGGAGGCAGAGCUUGCAGUGAGCUGAGAUUGUGCCACUGCACUCCUGCCUGGGAGACAGAGCAAGACUCCAUCUCAAAAAAACAAAAAACAAACAAACAAAAUCCAAAUAUCCAUUAACAGCUGAAUAAGAAAACAAAAUAUGGUCUAUACUUAUAAUGGAGUAUUAUUCAGCCUUAAAAACAAAGAAAUUCUGACACAUGCUUUAACAUGAAUGAACCUUGAUGACAUUAUGCUAGGUGAUAUAAGCCAGACACAAAAUGACAUUUUAUGAUUCCACUUACAUGAGGUUUCUGAAUUAAUCAAACUCGGAGAAACAGAAACAGUGGUUACCAGAAGCUGGGAGCGGGGAAUAAUGGGGAGUUAUUGCUUAAUGGGUACGAAGUUUCAGUUUGGGAAGGUGAGAAAGUUCUACAGACAGAUAAUGGUAAAGGUUAAACAACAAGGUAAAUACACUGCCACUGAACUGCACACAUAAAAAUGAUUACAAUGGUAAAUUUUAUGUCAUGCAUAUUUUAUCACAAUAAAAAAAUCGACCAGACUUAUCAGAAAAUAGAUGUACAUAAACAAUAGACUAAUAGGCAGCCCAUAAUGCUAAGUGAGCCAAAAUCACCCUGGAACUUCCAUUAUCAUAUCUAUUCUUAAACUGGAACAACCAAUAGGUUGAAUGAACAAAUUCUAGAACAUUCUGAGUGACUGCUAUCAUAUGCCCAAGGGACACUAUACUAUUGGGAAUUACUGAUAAUAUAUAGGUGUAAAAGACCUAUAUGACUCAGGAGCAUAAAAGCUAGAGAAAGAUACAUAUCCAAAAUAAUACAUGAGUUGGAACUAUAUUUGUGUUGCCACUAUAUAAAUUGUAUAAAAUGCUACUGAGAGAGGAGAGGGAGAAACAUUUGAUGAACUCAGCUUAAUGAAGAAAGUGAUACUCGGGCCUCAUAGAAAACUAGAAUUUUAAAUAAUAGGGACAAAGAUUUAAGUGAAACUGAUAGAAAGCUGUGGAAGAAUAAGCAUCACCUACAAAUAAACAAUCUAAGAUGGAAAAUGAGACCCACAUUGUGGGUGGAAGUGGUAGAAGAUUAGAGUGGGAAACAAGACUGGGGUCAGGUUCUAGGUUUCAAGUGCCAAGCCAUGGAGUUUAGACUUUAUUCAGGGAAAGAAAAGCAGCAUGAUCAAAACUGAACUCUAGGAAGAUUUCUAGACCAACAGUGCAGAGAAUGAGUAGAAAUGGAAAAGAUGGAAGGGUGAUUAAAUAAUAGACAAAACAGGGAAUAAAGUUGAAUGCCUAAAGUGCUGAUGACAGUAAAAGCAGAGACAUAAAGAAAGUGGUUCAAUCCAAAAAUAAGUUUAGGUUGGGUCCCCCUGUUAUACAUGAUCUUAGGGUAUUCCAUACUCCCUUUCAACAUUUAUCACAGUUGCAAUUCCAUGCUCAGUUUUUUUUCCCCACUAUAAUGUGAGCUCUAUGAAAGCAGGAACAGUAUAAGUCUUAGUUACUGCUAUAGUUCUUGGCACAAAGUACUCAAAUAAUGACUGAAUGUAGAAGGUACUCUCCUAAAACACAUACUUCUUUGAGUCAAGUAAGAACCUCUGUCUAUGUGUAAAAGGGCUCUCUAAAUUUGGGAACACUGCCACGUAUUUCUAGAUCUAGUAUAUGAGCCAUUGUCAGAUGUACAUCCUAUUCCAGUUUUGAGCCAUUACUGGCUGCCUUUGGGUGAGUUUGCUUUUCAUUCUAAUUUCAGAAGCCAGCCACCUGCCAUUAUCUAAAAUCCUGUCCACAUCAAGUUUACACAGUAAGCAAUUCAUAAAGCUGUGACUUUAAUAAGCCCUAAAAUAUAUAUUAAUAAAAUGAGGUCAGAAAUAUAAAAUAUUUUGUAACUUCAUGCACAAAAAUAGGCUUACAAUACCUUAGGGGGAUUAAAUGGGUAUGUUUCUGGUAUUUUUAUCUCUAGUUGGUAUCUUCCUCCUAAAAAAAUGGGGAAAACAAAGUUAAGAAUGCUGCUCAAUUCAAAUAUAUAAGACAAAUAUACUGAUGAGCUUUUCAGAGCAGCUAUUUUAUAUUCAAUUAUAAAAAUUCAUUUUAAAGUUGAAAUCCAGAAAGAAAGUAAUCAAAAGCACUAGUUUUUAAUUUAAAGGUUGUUUAAAGCAUACAGAAUAUCCAUUUCAUACAACUGUAUUAGUUUAUCAGUGAGUAACAAGGCCAGAGAUAAAUACAUUUAAUCCAGACAAUGCAAUGCCAACAUUUCAUCAGGACAAUUAACUAUUGGAGUUUUAAUCUCCACUGUGUCCUCUAAUCCAUCCUGUUAAGAAUUGCUAAAUAACAACAACAACAAAAGGGUCAGAAAAAAAAAAGAAGGCAAGGAGGUAUAAAAGUACAGAUGAUACAAAGGACAGAGAUUAUGCCAUAAACAAAAUUCUACUUCUAGCUGGUUCUCGCAAAUGAAAUAAGGUCCCAAUCUUUUCAUUUGUGCCCUAAAUUAAAUGUCAAUACUUAUUUGUUAAUAUUUGUGCAAUUAAACUGCAAUUACUUUUGCACUAGCCUAAUAAAAACAAGCUGGGUCCAUGGCUAAUGCCUUGUAAUCCCAACACUUUGGGAGGCCGAGGUGGGAGGACUGCUUAAAGCUAGGCCAGGAGUUUGAGUAGAGCCUGCUCAAUAUAGCAAGUCCUUGUCUCUAUUUUAAUAUAAAAAACUUUAAAUAUAUUUUUUAUUUUUUAAGCAAAAUUCAACAAGAGAGAUAGACAUAAAGACAAACUAUUCCUUCAUUUAUUUAUUUAUUUAUUUAUUUUAUUU
rnacentral:lncRNA from 10 species